GCUGUACUGUUUAUUCUGACAAGUAAUGAAGUCAUGCACUUAAAUUGAACUCAGCUCUUCAAACAAAAAUAAAUGAAAAAUCUCUGUUUUUCAAGCUAAACUACACAAUAUGUGUUAGCUCUCUCUCUCUCUCUCUCUCUCUCUCUCUCUCUCUCUCCUCUCCCUCUCCCUCUGCUUUGCCACCCCUACACUCCACACUUUGUUCACUCUACACAGUACUAUAUUACAGAGAACCUCUCUCUCUCUCUCUCUCUACUAUCUAGAUGCUCUGCACUAUUCUCUACUCCAUUAAAGCUGUGACCUGAUUUUUACACAAAUCUUAGCCAAACAACCACCAACGCUAUCCUCCUCAAAACCCUUCACCAUUAUUUCCCAUUUUUGCCAUUUUCUUCACUUUCUCUUGAAGCCCACCAAAGAAAACAUAUGUGUUUUUCUCAUAACCCAAAACUCAGAAAUACCCAAGUCUCUUAUAUAUUUUGGUUCUGUGUGUUCACAUCACAUGCAUUCGAGUUUGUUUGGCUCAGUCAAUGAGUUGGGGUGCCUUUAGAGUCAUUAGGGGGUGUGAUUGUGAAUGGGGUGUAUGUUUUCUCACUUAGCGGCUAAAUUUGCCUUCUUCCCUCCGUCUCCGCCCACUUACGGCGUUGAAAAGAGAGAAGAUGGUAAGCUGACGGUGGUCUCAACGACGGCGGCGCCGCCGUCAAUGGCCAUUUCUUGCUCGGACGACGACAACUCAUUUGACGUUCUAAUGAUUGAUACGAAACGCGGGAACAAGAUUGUCGCUUUCUAUCUGAGGAACCCUUAUGCUCGUCUCACUCUGCUUUACUCUCAUGGCAAUGCUGCUGACCUUGGUCAACUCUAUGAUCUCUUUGUUCAACUCAAGGUUAAUCUCAGAGUUAAUCUUAUUGGAUAUGACUAUUCUGGAUAUGGAGCCUCCACUGGCAAGCCUAGUGAAUCAAAUACAUACUCUGACAUAGAGGCGGUGUACGAAUGCCUUCAGACUCAAUAUGGUGUGAGCCAAGAAGAUUUGAUCUUGUAUGGACAGUCAGUUGGAAGUGGACCAACAUUGCAUUUGGCAGCUAAGUUGCCUCGGCUAAGAGGUGUUGUUUUGCAUAGUGCAAUUCUUUCUGGCCUUCGUGUGCUCUGUCAUGUGAAUUUCACAUUCUGCUUUGACAUUUAUAAGAAUAUCAACAAAAUCCAGAAGGUAAAAUGCCCCGUGUUGGUGAUACAUGGUACAGAAGAUGACGUUGUGAAUUGGUUACAUGGUGAUGGACUAUGGAAAAUGUCAAAGGAUCCAUACGAUCCAUUAUGGAUAAAAGGAGGUGGACACUGCAAUUUGGAGCUCUACCCUGAUUAUAUACGACAUCUUUGCAAGUUCAUCCGUGAAAUGGAAAACAUCACCACAGAGAUCCGUCUGAAAAAGAUUCGACAAACACUUGAAUUGCACAAGAGAUCUAGCUCCACAUCUACCUCUACAUCAAGUACAUGCUGCGAAAUUAAAUGCUGUCAACCAAAAUGCCCCAAAUUUUCAAAACCUAAAUGCAGCACAUGCUGCUGGUCACCCAAAUGUCCCGCGUGUUUGAUACCCAACUGUGGAAACCGUUGCUGCUGGAGACCCAAAUGUCCGAAAUGUUCAUGUUGCUGCAGGAGACCAAAAUGCCUGAAAUGUUCGGGAUCCUGCUGCUGUUGCAUGCCAUGCUUUCAAUGGCGAUGGUGCGGCGGAGAUCAUAGUAGUGGGAUGAAUGGAAAGCAGGAGGGCUAAUGAUUGAUAAACUGAGCGUGUAUAGAUUGGUGGAACUUGCUAACACCCUUUUCUAAUCUUUGUGCAGUCGUGUUGGAAAGCAAGAGGAAUUAGUUGGCUGAAUAGUUUUCUUGAUUAUGGUAUAAUAUUCAACUUGGUUGGAGAACUCAGAGGAAACAAAGUGAGCAACUCUGGUUCAGAAUAACCCAGUUGACCCCUGGGAGAAGGGUGCAAGUAAAACCUUCUCUCUUUUAUGGCUUUCUCUUCCUCUUGGCUGUUUAAGUUCACUGAUUCUUCUUUCUUUUUCUCUUCUCCUAUGGACAAGUUUGAGAAAAUAGUUGAGGGAGUACCCAAUGGGCUUGAGAGAAAGCCUAGCCCACUUCCCUGUUUGGAGGGUGAAAUACUCUGGUUCUGAUCAGGAGAUGAAGCAAAGGCUGAUCUCACAUGGAAAGUGGGCUUGACUAUCUCAAGCUUGGGCCUCAUGUACUGCCUUCUCUCAUGGAGUUUGGAUGUGGGUGGUGGGGCUGUUGUUGUUGUGGGGACCUGCCUUUUUGGGCCUGUUGCCUUGCUAUUUGUUGUUGCUGCUUCUUGCUGGGCGACAGUAUUGGGCUCUGAUGGGCCUGUCAGUCUCUGGACAACCUCUCUAAAGGACUUUGUGUCUGUCUGUACAAAUGUGGUUAAGGGUUUGCAACCAGCUGUGACUUGGGUCACUGCUGGUUUCUCCAUGGUGGUUAACUAUUUCAUUGGAGAAAGACACUCUUUUACUCUGUUGAGAAGUUGGACCUGUAAAUAAUAAAUUCCCAUUUCAGAUGGUAAAGUACCUUUAUUGAUUUCUUUUAGAAAAAGUAUUUUUAUUGAGCACUAUUUGAA